GUUGUAUCUCUGUGAAGCACUCUGGUUUCGUGUGCCUGCAUCUGGGUCCUUUGAAAAAUGUCGUGCUGUCUGGCCUAUUGUUGUGGUGUGAGUUACGGAGUUUUGGAGAUGUCGGCCGGAGAGAUGUCUGCCUUUCUUGAAUAUAAUGGGACUAUAUGGCACUCGGCUUGUCUCAGAGCAAUGUCUCUUUCCAGAAAUCAUGACCCAGUUUCUCAAGAUAAUCCACAGACCUUGUUGUGAGCAGUUUCAUGUAGGAACUAUUUUCUUUACCGAUAGACAGUUCUCUAUUUCUAUAUUUGUAGAUUGCUGUUUUUCCCUUACAUUGUGAGAUUUUGAUUUCCUCUGCUGACUUGUGUGACUCGUGACUUUACCUGUCUACACUAAUCAUGUGACUACUUACUUGUCCAUACUGAUCAUGUGAAUACUUGCCAACAUAUAUAAGAAACAGCUCAAAGGCGACCAUUUUGUAU